rnacentral:tRNA from 1 species
CUCGCCAUAGUUCAAUGGAUAGAACGGUCCCCUCCUAAGGGACAGAUGUAGGUUCGAUUCCUGCUGGCGGGACCA